rnacentral:rRNA from 1 species
UACGUAGGGUGCAAGCGUUGUCCGGAAUUAUUGGGCGUAAAGAGCUCGUAGGCGGUCUGUCGCGUCUGCUGUGAAAUCCCGGGGCUCAACCCCGGGCUUGCAGUGGAUACGGGCAGACUAGAGUUCGGUAGGGGAGACUGGAAUUCCUGGUGUAGCGGUGAAAUGCGCAGAUAUCAGGAGGAACACCGGUGGCGAAGGCGGGUCUCUGGGCCGAUACUGACGCUGAGGAGCGAAAGCGUGGGGGAGCGAACAGG